CGCGCGGUAUACGUAGGGUGCGAGGUUGUCCGGAAUUAUUGGGCGUAAAGAGCUUGUAGGCGGCUUGUGCGUCUGUGUGAAAACCCGGGGCUUAACCCCGGGCUGCAGUGGGUACGGGCAGGCUAGAGUGUGGUAGGGGAGACUGGAAUUCCUGGUGUAGCGGUGGAAUGCGCAGAUAUCAGGAGGAACACCGAUGGCGAAGGCAGGUCUCUGGGCCAUUACUGACGCUGAGAAGCGAAAGCGUGGGGAGCGAACAGGAUUAGAUACCCUGGUAGUCCACGCCGUAAACGUUGGGCGCUAGGUGUGGGUCCCAUUCCACGGGGUCCGUGCCGCAGCUAACGCAUUAAGCGCCCCGCCUGGGGAGUACGGCCGCAAGGCUAAAACUCAAAGGAAUUGACGGGGGCCCGCACAAGCGGCGGAGCGUGCGGAUUAAUUCGAUGCGCGAAGAACCUUACCAAGGCUUGACAUAUACCGGAAACUCCCAGAGAU
rnacentral:rRNA from 1 species